UGUUUAUGUUGUUACCGUUGAAAGCGUCUAUAAUUCUAUUUCCAGGCCAUGGCAGCCAUCUUAGGGUGGUGCCACAUGCAGAAGUAUCAAAUUUAGAGCCCAACUGAUAUAUCAGACGGCCGAUAUAUCGGGCCGAUAUUUGCAUUUUUGGACCAUAUCUGUAUCGGUAGUCAAAGACGAUAUGUGGCCAAUAUGUAGGACCGAUAAUUUUUUUUUUUUUUUUAACACUGACACAUGGGCGCUCCUAGCAGUCUAUCUAGUGUUUCUCACUGCCAACAACAUCAAUAAGGUUCAUGUGACCUGGAACCUUCACUCAGUCAGAGAGCAGCGCUGGAGGUAGACUGACUGACUGAAACUGACAAGGAAGAAUAAGAUGGUUGAAAAGCGACAGCGAAUGGGCAGUAAGGUGUGGGACUACUUCUGCAAAGAUGAUAUGACAGAAUCAGGCAGCAAGCACAACAAGAGGUGAAUAUCAAUGAAUGUCAACAACUGACAGCAGUAUGGGUCAAUGGACUGGGGCAGCAAGCAUAUCAUAAUGUUCAUGGUGCGCAAAUUGAGACUGUUGAUUCUUACAAAUAUUUACAUAUAUACUUCCCCCUUACCUCUCGACAUUAAUCAUGCUGAAGGUCAAUAACAAUUCCACAAGAUCUGAUUAUUUGAUUUUAGACACACCAUGUGUGAAAACCAAGUUUGGUCAGUAUUGUUUUAAAUUCUUUGCCCCUUUUAUCUGGAAUUCUUUUCAAGACGUACAAGCGCAUAAACUAACAUCCCUUGUCCUGUUAAAUAAUUAAAAGAUUUUUAUACCGAUUUUUCAAAUUCUGUAUGUAAAUGUUUUGAUUGAUUGUAUGCUGUCUGUUUUUUAACUGAACUGUAUCUGUCUGUUUCUAUGCCUGUAUGUGUUUCUUACCUAGUAUGUAUAUAGGUCUCACUUGAAAAAGAGAUUCCAAUCUCAAUGUGAUCACCUAUUUAAAUAAAGGAUAUAUAAUAAUGUGUUGUCAUUGGAAAUCCACUUGCAAAUAAGCAUUUUAUUGUUCUGUCUAUGCUUGUAUGCCAGUACAUAUGAGAACAAACAUCCUUGAACCUUAACAGAAAUAUUCCACCCUAGAAGACAAUUUGUACAGUGAAAAUCACAUACACCUGAUCAAUAACAAUACACCAUCCUGUAAACAUUGUUUUACAUUACAUGGUGCACAAUAUUCCACU